AGGGUUUGAUUAUGGCUCAGAUUGAACGCUGGCGGCAUGCCUUACACAUGCAAGUCGAACGGCAGCACGGGGGCAACCCUGGUGGCGAGUGGCGAACGGGUGAGUAAUACAUCGGAACGUGUCCUGUAGUGGGGGAUAGCCCGGCGAAAGCCGGAUUAAUACCGCAUACGCUCUGCGGAGGAAAGCGGGGGCUCCUUCGGGACCUCGCGCUACAGGGGCGGCCGAUGGCAGAUUAGCUAGUUGGUGGGGUAAAGGCCUACCAAGGCGACGAUCUGUAGCUGGUCUGAGAGGACGACCAGCCACACUGGGACUGAGACACGGCCCAGACUCCUACGGGAGGCAGCAGUGGGGAAUUUUGGACAAUGGGCGCAAGCCUGAUCCAGCAAUGCCGCGUGUGUGAAGAAGGCCUUCGGGUUGUAAAGCACUUUUGUCCGGAAAGAAAACCUCAGCCCUAAUACGGCGGGGGGAUGACGGUACCGGAAGAAUAAGCACCGGCUAACUACGUGCCAGCAGCCGCGGUAAUACGUAGGGUGCAAGCGUUAAUCGGAAUUACUGGGCGUAAAGCGUGCGCAGGCGGUCCGCUAAGACAGAUGUGAAAUCCCCGGGCUUAACCUGGGAACUGCAUUUGUGACUGGCGGGCUAGAGUAUGGCAGAGGGGGGUAGAAUUCCACGUGUAGCAGUGAAAUGCGUAGAGAUGUGGAGGAAUACCGAUGGCGAAGGCAGCCCCCUGGGCCAAUACUGACGCUCAUGCACGAAAGCGUGGGGAGCAAACAGGAUUAGAUACCCUGGGUAGUCCACGCCCUAAACGAUGUCAACUAGUUGUCGGGCCUUCAUUGGCUUGGUAACGUAGCUAACGCGUGAAGUUGACCGCCUGGGGGAGUACGGUCGCAAGAUUAAAACUCAAAGGAAUUGACGGGGACCCGCACAAGCGGUGGAUGAUGUGGAUUAAUUCGAUGCAA
rnacentral:rRNA from 1 species